CGCGUAGGCGGCCGCACAAGUCCGGAGUGGAAGUCCUGUUUCAAGGCAGGAAUGGCUCUGGAAACUGUGAGGCUUGAGUGCGGGAGAGGUUAUCGGAAUUCCCGGUGUAGCGGUGAAAUGCGUAGAGAUCGGGAGGAACACCAGUGGCGAAGGCGGGUAACUGGACCGCAACUGACGCUGAGGCGCGAAAGUGUGGGGAGCAAACA
rnacentral:rRNA from 1 species